rnacentral:tRNA from 1 species
GCGCCUGUAGCUCAGUUGGAUAGAGCGUUGGUCUACGAAACCAAAGGCCGGAGGUUCGAAUCCUCUCAGGCGCA